UACGAAGGGGGCUAGCGUUGUUCGGAAUUACUGGGCGUAAAGCGUGCGCAGGCGGCUUCUCAAGUCAGGGGUGAAAGCCCAGAGCUCAACUCUGGAAUUGCCUUUGAGACUGAGUGGCUUGAGUACGAGAGAGGUGAGUGGAAUUCCCAGUGUAGAGGUGAAAUUCGUAGAUAUUGGGAAGAACACCGGUGGCGAAGGCGGCAUCCUGGACCGGCAUUGACGCUGAGGAGCGAAAGCCAGGGGAGCAAACGGG
rnacentral:rRNA from 1 species